rnacentral:rRNA from 1 species
UACGUAGGGCGCAAGCGUUGUCCGGAAUUAUUGGGCGUAAAGAGCUCGUAGGCGGCUUGUCACGUCGGGUGUGAAAGACCGGGGCUUAACCCCGGUUCUGCAUUCGAUACGGGCUGGCUAGAGUGUGGUAGGGGAGAUCGGAAUUCCUGGUGUAGCGGUGAAAUGCGCAGAUAUCAGGAGGAACACCGGUGGCGAAGGCGGAUCUCUGGGCCAUUACUGACGCUGAGAAGCGAAAGCAUGGGGAGCGAACAGG